rnacentral:rRNA from 1 species
GAUGAACGCUAGCGGCAGGCUUAACACAUGCAAGUCGAGGGGUAUAAUUCUUCGGAAUUAGAGACCGGCGCACGGGUGCGUAACGCGUAUGCAAUCUACCUUUCACAGAGGGAUAGCCCAGAGAAAUUUGGAUUAAUACCUCAUAGUAUUAUAGGAUGGCAUCAUUUUAUAAUUAAAGUCACAACGGUGAAAGAUGAGCA